GGAUGAACGCUAGCGGCAGGCUUAAUACAUGCAAGUCGAGGGGCAGCAUGGGGUGUAGCAAUACACUCUGAUGGCGACCGGCAAACGGGUGCGGAACACGUACGCAACUUACCCUUAACUGGGGGAUAGCCCGGGGAAACCCGGAUUAAUACCUCGUAACAUAGUGUGGUGGCAUCACCAUAUUAUUAUAACUUUAUUGUGGUUAAGGAUGGGCGUGCGGCUGAUUAGGUAGUUGGCAGGGUAACGGCCUACCAAGCCUGCGAUCAGUAACUGGUGUGAGAGCACGACCAGUCACACGGGCACUGAGACACGGGCCCGACUCCUACGGGAGGCAGCAGUAAGGAAUAUUGGUCAAUGGACGCAAGUCUGAACCAGCCAUGCCGCGUGGAGGAUGAAGGCCCUCUGGGUUGUAAACUUUCUUUUAUCUGGGACGAAACCAUCUUUUCCUAAGGGUGUUGACGGUACCAGAGGAAUAAGCACCGGCUAACUCCGUGCCAG
rnacentral:rRNA from 1 species